rnacentral:rRNA from 1 species
GACUCCAUGAAGCUGGAUUCGCUAGUAAUCGCGCAUCAGCCACGGCGCGGUGAAUACGUUCCCGGGCCUUGUACACACCGCCCGUCAAGCCAUGGAAGCCGGGAGUGCCUGAAGUGCGUGAGCGCAAGCAGCGCCCUAAGGUAAAACCGGUGACUGGGGCUAAGUCGUAACAAGGUAAC